GACGAACGCUGUCGGCGUGCUUAACACAUGCAAGUCGAACGGAAAGGCCCUGCUUUUGUGGGGUGCUCGAGUGGCGAACGGGUGAGUAACACGUGAGUAACCUGCCCUUGACUUUGGGAUAACUUCAGGAAACUGGGGCUAAUACCGGAUAGGAGCUCCUGCUGCAUGGUGGGGGUUGGAAAGUUUCGGCGGUUGGGGAUGGACUCGCGGCUUAUCAGCUUGUUGGUGGGGUAGUGGCUUACCAAGGCUUUGACGGGUAGCCGGCCUGAGAGGGUGACCGGCCACAUUGGGACUGAGAUACGGCCCAGACUCCUACGGGAGGCAGCAGUGGGGAAUAUUGCACAAUGGGCGGAAGCCUGAUGCAGCAACGCCGCGUGCGGGAUGACGGCCUUCGGGUUGUAAACCGCUUUCGCCUGUGACGAAGCGUGAGUGACGGUAAUGGGUAAAGAAGCACCGGCUAACUACGUGCCAGCAGCCGCGGUGACACGUAGGGUGCGAGCGUUGUCCGGAUUUAUUGGGCGUAAAGGGCUCGUAGGUGGUUGAUCGCGUCGGAAGUGUAAUCUUGGGGCUUAACCCUGAGCGUGCUUUCGAUACGGGUUGACUUGAGGAAGGUAGGGGAGAAUGGAAUUCCUGGUGGAGCGGUGGAAUGCGCAGAUAUCAGGAGGAACACCAGUGGCGAAGGCGGUUCUCUGGGCCUUUCCUGACGCUGAGGAGCGAAAGCGUGGGGAGCGAACAGGCUUAGAUACCCUGGUAGUCCACGCUGUAAACGGUGGGUACUAGGUGUGGGGUCCAUUCCACGGGUUCCGUGCCGUAGCUAACGCUUUAAGUACCCCGCCUGGGGAGUACGGCCGCAAGGCUAAAACUCAAAGGAAUUGACGGGGCCCCGCACAAGCGGCGGAGCAUGCGGAUUAAUUCGAUGCAACGCGUAGAACCUUACCUGGGUUUGACAUGGAUCGGGAGCGCUCAGAGAUGGGUGUGCCUCUUUUGGGGUCGGUUCACAGGUGGUGCAUGGCUGUCGUCAGCUCGUGUCGUGAGAUGUUGGGUUAAGUCCCGCAACGAGCGCAACCCUUGUUCACUGUUGCCAGCACGUUAUGGUGGGGACUCAGUGGAGACCGCCGGGGUCAACUCGGAGGAAGGUGGGGAUGACGUCAAGUCAUCAUGCCCCUUAUGUCCAGGGCUUCACGCAUGCUACAAUGGCUGGUACAGAGAGUGGCGAGCCUGUGAGGGUGAGCGAAUCUCGGAAAGCCGGUCUCAGUUCGGAUUGGGGUCUGCAACUCGACCUCAUGAAGUCGGAGUCGCUAGUAAUCGCAGAUCAGCAACGCUGCGGUGAAUACGUUCCCGGG
rnacentral:rRNA from 1 species